rnacentral:rRNA from 1 species
UACGUAGGGCGCAAGCGUUGUCCGGAAUUACUGGGCGUAAAGCGCGCGUAGGUGGUUUGUUAAGUUGGAUGUGAAAUCCCCGGGCUCAACCUGGGAACUGCAUUCAAAACUGACAAGCUAGAGUAUGGUAGAGGGUGGUGGAAUUUCCUGUGUAGCGGUGAAAUGCGUAGAUAUAGGAAGGAACACCAGUGGCGAAGGCGACCACCUGGACUGAUACUGACACUGAGGUGCGAAAGCGUGGGGAGCAAACAGG